rnacentral:rRNA from 1 species
ACUGCUCAGUAACACGUGGGUAACCUGCCCCGAUGACCGGGACAACCCGAGGAAACUCGGGCUAAUACCGGAUGUGGCGCACAGGCUCAAGCCUGUUCGCUAAAGGAAGCUUCGGCCUCCGCAUUGGGAGGGGCCCGCGGCCCAUUAGCUUGUUGGUGGGGUCACGGCCUACCAAGGCGACGAUGGGUAGCUGGUCUGAGAGGACGAUCAGCCACACUGGGACUGAGACACGGCCCAGACUCCUACGGGAGGCAGCAGUGGGGAAUCUUGCGCAAUGCGCGAAAGCGUGACGCAGCAACGCCGCGUGGGGGAAGACGGCCUUCGGGUUGUAAACCCCUUUCAGGAGGGACGAAGGUUCGCCGGUUAAUAGCCGUGCGGAUUGACGGUACCUCCAGAAGAAGCUCCGGCUAACUACGUGCCAGCAGCCGCGGUAAUACGUAGGGGGCAAGCGUUGUCCGGAAUCAUUGGGCGUAAAGCGCGCGUAGGCGGCCUUGUAAGUCCGUUGUGAAAGUCAAAGGCUCAACCUUUGAAAGCCGAUGGAUACUGCAAGGCUAGAGUCCGGAAGAGGCGAGUGGAAUUCCUGGUGUAGCGGUGGAAUGCGCAGAUAUCAGGAGGAACACCAAUAGCGAAGGCAGCUCGCUGGGACGGAACUGACGCUAAGGCGCGAAAGCGUGGGGAGCGAACAGGAUUAGAUACCCUGGUAGUCCACGCCGUAAACGAUGGGCACUAGGUGUGGGAGGUGUCGACUCCUCCCGUGCCGUCGCUAACGCACUAAGUGCCCCGCCUGGGGAGUACGGCCGCAAGGCUAAAACUCAAAGGAAUUGGCGGGGGAGCAC